AUUACAGCUCCUAAGCAGAUUUAACUCUCCUAAAAUCUUUACAAUUUCAUGAACUCUGAAAGUCAUUGCCUCUCUCUCACAAACCUGAAAUAAGCUUUCUAAUCUGUAGAGCCCCCAAUUUGCCUAUCCAUCUACAUCUCCACCUCUACUCUCUUCUUCCUGUAUAUUCCUAACUCUAUUCCUAACUGCAAUAGAUGAACUGUCCUCCCUUAUAUAGAAGAAUGAAUCCUGGAUUUACGUACUGAAUCCUAUGAACAAUUAUUUACUCAGAUCUAUUCUUGUGACAAAAGGAACGUUUCAAGGAACAGUAGAAGCAGUUCCCAACGUUUUCACUAAAGACACAGGAAUAGUCUUAGAGCUCCUGGAAAUCCCCCAAAAGACACAGAUGUGAGAGCUGAGGAACCCAGUCAGCUCACAGGGGAAGAUGGAGCUGGCCCAGAAUCAGAACAAUCAAGCGUGGCAUGUUCCGGAGAAGUUUGCCACCACGCAAGAAAGAGGAGAGGUUUUGACAGUUUUUGACUAACAGCCUCGUGUUAUUUUGAACUUUUGCUCCAGCUGCUCUGUGGGGAGGAGAUGAAGAAAGCAAAUGUUUAUUCGCUUGGCUGCCUUUCUCACUGUCUUCAGAGGCUCCUCUCUCUGAGGUGUUGCCUUCAAGAGGACCUCCAAUAAUCCUCCCGAACCCCCAUCUCCAUCUCAGCAUCAGCUUCCUGGAGAACCCCACCUGCAAAAGGUUGUACAAAAACUCAGUGGACCACCUGAGUGAGAAUCUGGAGUCUACACAAUGCUAUAAGCAAUGAGUUUGAAACAUGGUUUUUUGUUGUUGUUGUUGUUCGUUUGUUUUGUUAAUUUAUCUGUUUUUGGUUUGCUUGUUUUAAUCUACAAUGUUCACUGCAUCAUGAAAAAGGUUUCUUGAAACAGCUUUUGCAUAUUAUACAGAGAACACAGUACCCCUCUUCAAUAUAUUUUACAUUCAACAAAUGAUCGUGCAUUUUCCAUUUCUGAUACCAUAUUAAUUUUCCUAAUGCAUUGUAUUUAGGGAGUGUAUAGUAUACAAAUUGAUUAAGCUAACAGACAAAUGAGUAUAGGGUUCUAACUCAUGAAACCUUUUUUUCUACUCUGAAUACUGUUUUUUUUGAGGUGUAAAAUUAGGCUUAGGUACUGAAAUCAAAACACUAAAAUAAUGACAGUCUGGAGGCUGCCUCACAUACAAGAAAUCCUCAGUUAUUGGAAAGGAGCAAAAUUUUAGGAAAUAAAUUGGAAAGAGAGAGGAUUGGUAACAAUGUCAGACUUAUGAAAGUGAGGUAAUGAAAUAAAGAAGCACUUAAGUAAGAAAUUAUGCCAAAUCACAAAAGGUAUUUUGAUGCUAUUUGAGAAUACCAUUUCAUGUUGACCUUUACGUUAGAAGCUGUGAUUGCUGACAGCCAUGCUUUUGGAGAUGAUGGAUGCUAAGUAGAAAGGUUGGGUUUCUUUUUGGAUUUUCGUAGCAGGUUGCUUAUAUCUUUGAGUGUGUUGAGAGUUAGUUAUCCACAUUGUGUGGCUUCUAGAAACCGUGGGCUCCAUCCACCAUGUUCUUCAUGACCACACCUUGUCCACAAUGUGACAGCAUGAAAUUACACAAUUCAGCCAAGCCCUUCCACUGGCUAAAGUCCUUCACAGAGUCUUCAUUAUCUGAAGGGUAAGGUUGAAAGUCUUUAUUGUGGCAUAAAAGAUGCAUCAGAAUUUGACCCAUUUCGUGUUCCAAUGAUAUCAGAUAUCUCACAGUUCCUAUUUAUUUUAAUUUGGCCAAUAGCUCUUCCCAUUUCUUCUGGUGAAAAGCACUUAUAUUUCCUUUGGGAAAAGGAACCAUCCAUUCAUGUGUUUUUUAGGGGGACUGUCAAUCUCAAUGUCCUGACUGUCCCAUUGCCAAGAGAAGCAUAUGGCCUAGGCAGACUACAGACUUGAUUCAAGGUAGUUGCAUGAGGGCCAAAGACAUCAGUGAACAUUGGUACAUGGAUUUGUGAAACAUAAAAUCUUUCUUCUAUCCUUUCAACCAUUAGAAUGUAGGUUUAGAAGCAUUGCAAAUCAUAUUUUUCACCAGAUGAAAUAAUCAGGCUUGUUUGAGAAUAAAGCCAAAGUGAUGAGAGAAGAGCCAAGAAAAAGAGGAGGAAGGGCUAGCUAGUCAGAUAGAUGAUAUAAAGAAAAAAGAAGAGAGAGGGAGAGAGAGAUGAAAUCUCUCACAACAUUACAUGAGACCCUGUAUUCAUCACACUUAGAUUCUCCCUCAAAUUGUUCAGUUGUGUCUGACUCUUUGCAACCCAUGGGCUGUAGGCUGCCAGGCUCUUCUGUCCAUGGGAAUUCUUCCAGGCAAGAAUGUUUGGUGGGUUUCCAUGCCCUCCUCCAGGGGACCUUCCCAACCCAGGGAUCGAAUGCAGGUCUUCCACAUUGCAGGUUGAUUCUUUAGUGUCUGAGCCACCAGGGAAGUCCCAAAUUGUCCUUAAGUGUGAUUCAAUAAAACACCUUUUAAGCUUAAUCUGGUUGAGCUUUUUCUUUGAUAUUAGAACUUAUAUGGCCUAAUAUAGUCUGUAACAUUUAUUAUCUCACAGAAAUUACACAAUUCUCUUGUUCUUCUUGGAAUACCUCUUCAGUUUUAGACUAUUUGAUCAAUUUCUACUGGUUCUUCAAAACUCAAAUGAAAUGUCAGCGUGUCUGAGAAAGGUUUUUCUUCCCCUUCCCACCCUCCUUCUAAGCUGAGAGUUAAUCAGUCCUUCUCUGUGCCACCUGUUUUGUGGCUGCUCUUUUACUGGCCACAUUAAAAGAUAAGAGUGAAAUCUUUGCUUCUGUGUCAGUUUUUUCCACUUAUUUAGAAAACCUUUCUAAGUAACGGU